rnacentral:rRNA from 1 species
GACGAACGCUGGCGGCGCGCCUAACACAUGCAAGUCGAACGAGAGAUGAGGAGCUUGCUCUUCAAAUCGAGUGGCGAACGGGUGAGUAACGCGUGAGGAACCUGCCUCAAAGAGGGGGACAACAGUUGGAAACGACUGCUAAUACCGCAUAAGCCCACAGCUCGGCAUCGAGCAGAGGGAAAAGGAGCAAUCCGCUUUGAGAUGGCCUCGCGUCCGAUUAGCUAGUUGGUGAGGUAACGGCCCACCAAGGCGACGAUCGGUAGCCGGACUGAGAGGUUGAACGGCCACAUUGGGACUGAGACACGGCCCAGACUCCUACGGGAGGCAGCAGUGGGGAAUAUUGCACAAUGGGGGAAACCCUGAUGCAGCGACGCCGCGUGGAGGAAGAAGGUCUUCGGAUUGUAAACUCCUGUUGUUGAGGAAGAUAAUGACGGUACUCAACAAGGAAGUGACGGC